rnacentral:rRNA from 1 species
GACGAACGCUGGCGGCGUGCUUAACACAUGCAAGUCGAACGGGAACCUUUAUUUCGGUAAAGGAGAGAGUGGCAAACGGGUGAGUAACACGUAGGCAACCUGCCGACAGGAUGGGGACAACAUUCCGAAAGGAAUGCUAAUACCGAAUGGAGUCCGAGGAUGGCAUCAUCCUUGGAUCAAAGAUGGCCUCUUAACAAUGCUAUCGCCUGUCGAUGGGCCUGCGUCUGAUUAGCCAGUUGGCGGGGUAACGGCCCACCAAAGCGACGAUCAGUAGCCGGUCUGAGAGGAUGAACGGCCACAUUGGGACUGAGACACGGCCCAGACUCCUACGGGAGGCAGCAGUGGGGAAUCUUCCACAAUGGGCGAAAGCCUGAUGGAGCAACGCCGCGUGAGUGAAGAAGGUCUUCGGAUCGUAAAGCUCUGUUGCACGGGACGAAAAACUGGGUUUGAAAAAC